GAGUUCGUUCCUCUGACUCGACACCA
rnacentral:misc_RNA from 1 species